UUUUUGUAAUUUUAAUAAAAAGUCUAACCUGCCCACUGAUAAAGAUUAAAGGGCCGCAGUAUUUUGACUGUGCAAAGGUAGCAUAAUCAUUUGUCUUUUAAUUGAAGGCUAGAAUGAAUGGUUGAACGAAGUAUAAGCUGUCUCAUAAUUAAAGAUAUAAUAAUUUAAUUUUUAGGUUAAAAAGCUUAAAUUUAUUUGGAGGACGAGAAGACCCUAUAGAUCUUUAUAUAGUUUUUAUGUGAAUUAUUUAGAGUUUAAAAUUUAGUUUAUGUAAUUAUUUUAUUACGUUGGGGUGACGGGAAAAUAUAUUUAACUUUUCUUUAUUAAAACAAAAAUUAUUGAAUUUAAUUAUCCAUUUUAGUGAAUAUAAAAUAAGAUACCUUAGGGAUAACAGCGUAAUUUUAUUGGAGAGUUCAUAUCAAUAAUAAUAUUUGCGGCCUCGAUGUUGAAUUAAAAAUCUUUUUGGUGCAGUAGCUUUAAAAAGUAGGUCUGUUCGACCUUUAAAUUUUU
rnacentral:rRNA from 1 species